GACGAACGCUGGCGGCGUGCCUAACACAUGCAAGUCGAACGGGGUAAUUUCUUCGGAGAUUACUUAGUGGCGAACGGGUGAGUAACGCGUGAGAAACCUGCCUUUCAGUGGGGGACAACAGUUGGAAACGACUGCUAAUACCGCAUAAUGUCAUUUGGGGGCAUCCCUGAAUGACCGAAGAUUUAUUGCUGAAAGAUGGUCUCGCGUCUGAUUAGCUAGUUGGUGAGGUAACGGCUCACCAAGGCGACGAUCAGUAGCCGGUCUGAGGGGAUGAACGGCCACAUUGGGACUGAGAUACGGCCCAGACUCCUACGGGAGGCAGCAGUGGGGAAUAUUGGGCAAUGGGGGAAACCCUGACCCAGCAACGCCGCGUGAAGGAAGAAGGCCUUCGGGUUGUAAACUUCUUUUACCAGGGACGAACAAAUAACGGUACCUGGAGAAAAAGCAACGGCUAACUACGUGCCAGCCGCCGCGGUAACAC
rnacentral:rRNA from 1 species